UACGGAAGGCAGCAGUGGGGAAUAUUGCACAAUGGGCGAAAGCCUGAUGCAGCUAUGCCGCGUGUAUGAAGAAGGCCUUAGGGUUGUAAAGUACUUUCAUCGAGGAGGAAAAACAAAACUAAUAAUUUUAUUUCUUGACGUUACCCGAAAAAGAAGCACCGGCUAACUCCGUGCCAGCAGCCGCGGUAAUACGGAGGGUGCUAGCGUUAAUCAGAAUUACUGGGCGUAAAGAGCACGUAGGUGGUUUUUUAAGUCAGAUGUGAAAUCCCUGGGCUUAACCUAGGAACUGCAUUUUGAAACUGAAAUACUAGAGUAUCGUAGAGGGAGGUAGAAUUCUAGGUGUAGCGGUGAAAUGCGUAGAUAUCUGGAGGAAUACCUGUGGCGAAAGCGGCCUCCUAAACGAAUACUGACACUGAGGUGCGAAAGCGUGGGGAGCAAACAGGGAUUAGAUACC
rnacentral:rRNA from 1 species